rnacentral:rRNA from 1 species
UACGGAGGAUGCGAGCGUUAUCCGGAUUUAUUGGGUUUAAAGGGUGCGUAGGCGGGUUUUUAAGCGUGAGGUGAAAGGUCCAGGCUCAACCUGGGAACUGCCUCGCGAACUGGGAGCCUUGAAUGUCCGUGCCGUGGGAGGAAUGUGUGGUGUAGCGGUGAAAUGCAUAGAGAUCACACAGAACACCGAUUGCGAAGGCAUCUCACGAACGGAUGAUUGACGCUGAGGCACGAAAGCGUGGGGAUCAAAC